rnacentral:rRNA from 1 species
AACGAACGCUGGCGGCAUGCCUAACACAUGCAAGUCGAACGAGACCUUCGGGUCUAGUGGCGCACGGGUGCGUAACGCGUGGGAAUCUGCCCUUGGGUUCGGAAUAACAGUUGGAAACGACUGCUAAUACCGGAUGAUGACGUAAGUCCAAAGAUUUAUCGCCCAAGGAUGAGCCCGCGUAGGAUUAGCUAGUUGGUGAGGUAAAGGCUCACCAAGGCGACGAUCCUUAGCUGGUCUGAGAGGAUGAUCAGCCACACUGGGACUGAGACACGGCCCAGACUCCUACGGGAGGCAGCAGUGGGGAAUAUUGGACAAUGGGCGAAAGCCUGAUCCAGCAAUACCGCGUGAGUGAUGAAGGCCUUAGGGUUGUAAAGCUCUUUUACCCGGGAUGAUAAUGACAGUACCGGGAGAAUAAGCUCCGGCUAACUCCGUG